AGCUUAUUUUUUUUCGAGGAAACAAUGGGAUCCCCCGCCUGACAACUCCAUCCUCGAACUUGUUUCGCCUGAGCGAGCUGCCAGCUACCAACUACCAACUGCCAGCUACCAUUUGAUUAGCUGCCUCUUUGGAAGUCUUCGCAAUGUGCGAUAUGUCCGCCCCUCGGACGCGCCCCGAAAAAACUGAAGAAAAAGAUACCCGGUUGCCACAGUUGGCACGCGUCAUUAGCCCCGCUUUAGGCCACUUUUGCAACUGCCCCCCUGCCACGCCCCCUUUGCUGGCGGGCAGCGCUACGCGUCAAAUCAGCUUAAGUCCAACACAUAAUGGCCUUAUUGGCCAUUGUUUGCACAUUAUUAUUUAUUUUGCUGCCGCUUCGGCUGCCACUUGCCAUUUCCUCACAUUUCUGGCCCUUUUGUGCGCGGGUCAAGGCGAUAAUGUGGCUAAAACUCAUCUUGACUGUAUGUAUAUAUGUGUAUUUUCCUAGCCCGAAACUUGCGUAAUAAUCCGGGUGUCGAUGCCGCUUUUUUUUCCCCCGAUUGGCAUCUUUCAACAGUGAGUUAGAAAAACCGAAACGUUUUCGAAUCUUAAUUAUCGGGCGAAUGCACGCCUGAGAGAGUUGUCUACAAAAAGGACAUCUCCGGCCAGGUGGUGCUCAUCACAGGAGGAGGCGGCGGCGUUGGACGUUUGAUUGCUCUUAACUUUGCUCGACUUCAGGCCCGCAUUGUCAUCUGGGAUAUAAAUCAAGAAGGUAAAAUCGCACCUAGAUGCUAAUGACGCCGUCACAGCUUCUGCCAGGCGGGUCAAAAAACCCGACGGCUAGUGAAAGCUGUUACAUUUACAAUUUGAUUAGCUAAACAAUAUUUGAUCAUAAUUUUCCGCGCAGCCAUAAAGACAGCUGUGGAUUUGUUGGCCAAACAUGGUUAUGACAACUGCAAGGGC
rnacentral:misc_RNA from 1 species